UACAGAGGGGGCAAGCGUUAUUCGGAAUUAUUGGGCGUAAAGGGCGCGUAGGCGGCUUUGCAAGUGACGGGUGAAAUCCCUCGGCUUAACCGAGGAACUGCCUGUCAGACUGUGAGGCUUGAGACCGGGAGAGGUGAGUGGAAUUCCCAGUGUAGCGGUGAAAUGCGUAGAUAUUGGGAGGAACACCAGUGGCGAAGGCGGCUCACUGGACCGGAACUGACGCUAAGGCGCGAAAGCGUGGGGAGCAAACAGG
rnacentral:rRNA from 1 species